rnacentral:misc_RNA from 1 species
GAUGAAGAACGCAGCGAAAUGCGAUACGUAAUGUGAAUUGCAGAAUUCAGUGAAUCAUCGAGUCUCUGAACGCACAUUGCGCCCCCUGGUAUUCCGGGGGGCAUGCCUGUCCGAGCGUCAUUGCUGCCCUCAAGCACGGCUUGUGUGUUGGGCCUCCGUCCUCCUCCCGGGGGACGGGCCCGAAAGGCAGCGGCGGCACCGCGUCCGGUCCUCGAGCGUAUGGGGCUUCGUCACCCGCUCUUGUAGGCCCGGCCGGCGCUUGCCGACACAUCAAUCUUUUUUCCAGGUUGACCUCGGAUCAGGUAGGGAUACCCGCUGAACUUAAGCAUAUCAAUAAGCGGAGGA